rnacentral:rRNA from 1 species
UACGGGGGGGGGUAAGCGUUGUUCGGAAUUACUGGGCGUAAAGGGCUCGUAGGCGGCCAACUAAGUCAGACGUGAAAUCCCCAGGCUUAACCUGGGAACUGCGUCUGAUACUGGAUGGCUUGAAUUCGGGAGAGGGAUGCAGAAUUCCAGGUGUAGCGGUGAAAUGCGUAGAUAUCUGGAGGAAUACCGGUGGCGAAGGCGGCAUCCUGGACCGAGAUUGACGCUGAUGAGCGAAAGCUAGGGGAGCAAACGGG